GGCGGUGUAGCUCAAUCGGAUAGAGCGUCAGACUCUUAAUCUGAAGGCUGCGAGUUCGACCCUCGCGGUGGGCU